CCUACGGGAGACAGCAGUAGGGAAUUUUCGUCAAUGGGCGCAAGCCUGAACGAGCGAUGCCGCGUGAGUGAAGAAGGCCUUCGGGUCGGAAAGCUCUGUUUCGGGGGAAAAAAGGCAGCAUCAGGAAAUGGGUGCUUACUGAUGGUGCCCCUCCAGAAAGUCACGGCUAACUACGUGCCAGCAGCCGCGGUAAUACGUAGGUGGCGAGCGUUAUCCGGAAUGAUUGGGCGUAAAGGGUGCGCAGGCGGUCUUGCAAGUCUGGAGUGAAACGGAUGAGCUCAACUGAUGCAUGGCUUUGGAAACUGGAGGACUGGAGAGCAGGAGAGGGCGGUGGAACUCGAUGUGUAGCGGUAAAAUGCGUAGAUAUAUGGAAGAACACCAGUGGCGAAGGCGGCCGCCUGGCCUGUUGCUGACGCUGAGGCACGAAAGCGUGGGGAGCAAAUAGGAUUAGAUACCCGAGUAGUC
rnacentral:rRNA from 1 species